rnacentral:rRNA from 1 species
UUAAGCGACUAAGCGUACACGGUGGAUGCCCUGGCAGUCAGAGGCGAUGAAGGACGUGCUAAUCUGCGAAAAGCGUCGGUAAGGUGAUAUGAACCGUUAUAACCGGCGAUGUCCGAAUGGGGAAACCCAGUGCAAUUCGUUGCACUAUCGUUAACUGAAUACAUAGGUUAACGAGGCGAACCGGGGGAACUGAAACAUCUAAGUACCCCGAGGAAAAGAAAUCAACCGAGAUUCCCCCAGUAGCGGCGAGCGAACGGGGAGCAGCCCAGAGUCUGAAUCAGCUUGUGUGUUAGUGGAACGGUCUGGAAAGUCCGACGGUACAGGGUGAUAGUCCCGUACACCAAAAUGCACAGGCUGUGAACUCGAAGAGUAGGGCGGGACACGUGGUAUCCUGUCUGAAUAUGGGGGGACCAUCCUCCAAGGCUAAAUACUCCUGACUGACCGAUAGUGAACCAGUACCGUGAGGGAAAGGCGAAAAGAACCCCGGCGAGGGGAGUGAAAAAGAACCUGAAACCGUGUACGUACAAGCAGUGGGAGCACCUUCGGGUGUGACUGCGUACCUUUUGUAUAAUGGGUCAGCGACUUAUAUUCUGUAGCAAGGUUAACCGUAUAGGGGAGCCGCAGGGAAACCGAGUCUUAACUGGGCGUUAAGUUGCAGGGUAUAGACCCGAAACCCGGUGAUCUAGCCAUGGGCAGGUUGAAGGUUGGGUAACACUAACUGGAGGACCGAACCGACUAAUGUUGAAAAAUUAGCGGAUGACUUGUGGCUGGGGGUGAAAGGCCAAUCAAACCGGGAGAUAGCUGGUUCUCCCCGAAAGCUAUUUAGGUAGCGCCUCGUGAACUCAUCUUCGGGGGUAGAGCACUGUUUCGGCUAGGGGGUCAUCCCGACUUACCAACCCGAUGCAAACUACGAAUACCGAAGAAUGUUAUCACGGGAGACACACGGCGGGUGCUAACGUCCGUCGUGAAGAGGGAAACAACCCAGACCGCCAGCUAAGGUCCCAAAGUCAUGGUUAAGUGGGAAACGAUGUGGGAAGGCACAGACAGCCAGGAUGUUGGCUUAGAAGCAGCCAUCAUUUAAAGAAAGCGUAAUAGCUCACUGGUCGAGUCGGCCUGCGCGGAAGAUGUAACGGGGCUAAACCAUGCACCGAAGCUGCGGCAGCGACACUAUGUGUUGUUGGGUAGGGGAGCGUUCUGUAAGCCUGCGAAGGUGUGCUGUGAGGCAUGCUGGAGGUAUCAGAAGUGCGAAUGCUGACAUAAGUAACGAUAAAGCGGGUGAAAAGCCCGCUCGCCGGAAGACCAAGGGUUCCUGUCCAACGUUAAUCGGGGCAGGGUGAGUCGACCCCUAAGGCGAGGCCGAAAGGCGUAGUCGAUGGGAAACAGGUUAAUAUUCCUGUACUUGGUGUUACUGCGAAGGGGGGACGGAGAAGGCUAUGUUAGCCGGGCGACGGUUGUCCCGGUUUAAGCAUGUAGGCUGGUUAUCCAGGCAAAUCCGGAUAAUCAAGGCUGAGGUGUGAUGACGAGGCACUACGGUGCUGAAGUAACAAAUGCCCUGCUUCCAGGAAAAGCCUCUAAGCAUCAGGUAACAUUAAAUCGUACCCCAAACCGACACAGGUGGUCAGGUAGAGAAUACCAAGGCGCUUGAGAGAACUCGGGUGAAGGAACUAGGCAAAAUGGUGCCGUAACUUCGGGAGAAGGCACGCUGGUGUGUAGGUGAAGUCCCUGCGGAUGGAGCUGAGACCAGUCGAAGAUACCAGCUGGCUGCAACUGUUUAUUAAAAACACAGCACUGUGCAAACACGAAAGUGGACGUAUACGGUGUGACGCCUGCCCGGUGCCGGAAGGUUAAUUGAUGGGGUUAUCCGUAAGGAGAAGCUCUUGAUCGAAGCCCCGGUAAACGGCGGCCGUAACUAUAACGGUCCUAAGGUAGCGAAAUUCCUUGUCGGGUAAGUUCCGACCUGCACGAAUGGCGUAAUGAUGGCCAGGCUGUCUCCACCCGAGACUCAGUGAAAUUGAACUCGCUGUGAAGAUGCAGUGUACCCGCGGCAAGACGGAAAGACCCCGUGAACCUUUACUAUAGCUUGACACUGAACAUUGAGCCUUGAUGUGUAGGAUAGGUGGGAGGCUUUGAAGCGUGGACGCCAGUCUGCGUGGAGCCAACCUUGAAAUACCACCCUUUAAUGUUUGAUGUUCUAACGUUGGCCCCUGACCGGGGUUGCGGACAGUGUCUGGUGGGUAGUUUGACUGGGGCGGUCUCCUCCCAAAGCGUAACGGAGGAGCACGAAGGUUAGCUAAUCCUGGUCGGACAUCAGGAGGUUAGUGCAAUGGCAUAAGCUAGCUUGACUGCGAGCGUGACGGCGCGAGCAGGUGCGAAAGCAGGUCAUAGUGAUCCGGUGGUUCUGAAUGGAAGGGCCAUCGCUCAACGGAUAAAAGGUACUCCGGGGAUAACAGGCUGAUACCGCCCAAGAGUUCAUAUCGACGGCGGUGUUUGGCACCUCGAUGUCGGCUCAUCACAUCCUGGGGCUGAAGUAGGUCCCAAGGGUAUGGCUGUUCGCCAUUUAAAGUGGUACGCGAGCUGGGUUUAGAACGUCGUGAGACAGUUCGGUCCCUAUCUGCCGUGGGCGCUGGAGAAUUGAGGGGGGCUGCUCCUAGUACGAGAGGACCGGAGUGGACGCAUCACUGGUGUUCGGGUUGUCAUGCCAAUGGCACUGCCCGGUAGCUAAAUGCGGAAGAGAUAAGUGCUGAAAGCAUCUAAGCACGAAACUUGCCCCGAGAUGAGUUCUCCCUGAGACUUUAAGUCUCCUGAAGGAACGUUGAAGACGACGACGUUGAUAGGCCGGGUGUGUAAGCGCAGCGAUGCGUUGAGCUAACCGGUACUAAUGAACCGUGAGGCUUAACCUU